rnacentral:tRNA from 2 species
GCUCCGGUAUCCCAAUCAGGCAGAGGACCAUGCCUCAGGUGCAUGUCAGUGCUGGUUCGAGUCCGGCCCGGAGUUCCA